CUCCUUGCUGUGAGAAGCUGAAAAGUCCUUGGCUUAGUGUAGCUGAGGAAAGGGAGCAGAAGGUUAUUUACAACCUGCAGAAGCUGAGGAAGGCUCUGUUAGAAAGUGAAAUAGAAAAGCUGCUUGGAACAAAUCUACCGUGCCACAGUGCACUGUGCUUGCCAGCCUGCCCCAGAGCCUGACUCUCAGUGUACACUGGAGCUUCCCCUGCAGUGAAUUCAUAAUUAUGCAUUAUGGAAAUACAGAUGUUGGCAAUAGAAGAGAGCAAAACAAGAUCGCUUCCUUUCUUGUGAGUGUUUGUCAUCUCUAGUGUCAAAUGAUUCAAGUGAUGAGUCUUCA